rnacentral:rRNA from 1 species
UGGGGAAUUUUUGGGACAAUGGGCGAAAAGCCUGAUCCAGCAAUGCCGCGUGUGUGAAGAAGCCUUCGGGUUGUAAAGCANUUUUGUCCGGAAAGAAAUCCUUGGCUCUAAUACAGUCGGGGGAUGACGGUACCGGAAGAAUAAGCACCGGCUAACUACGUGCCAGCAGCCGCGGUAAUACGUAGGGUGCAAGCGUUAAUCGGAAUUACUGGGCGUAAAGCGUGCGCAGGCGGUUUGCUAAGACCGAUGUGAAAUCCCCGGGCUCAACCUGGGAACUGCAUUGGUGACUGGCAGGCUAGAGUAUGGCAGAGGGGGGUAGAAUUCCACGUGUAGCAGUGAAAUGCGUAGAGAUGUGGAGGAAUACCGAUGGCGAAGGCAGCCCCCUGGGCCAAAUACUGACGCUCAUGC